AAAAAGACAAACCCUGGUUUCCGUGCCCAACGUUUGAUCGUCCGUCUUAUUUGAAAAAAUUAUGAAAAAAAUUAAAAAGACAAGUCACGCAUAAAAUAUUAAUCAUGUUUUAUCAUCUAACAAUAAUAAAAAUACGAAUUAUAAAAAAAAUUAUAUAAGACAGACAGUUAAAGUUGGACACGGAAACUCAGGAUUUGCUUUUU
rnacentral:pre_miRNA from 1 species